AAUUUUGAGUCACCAAAGCUUUCCCUGACAUAAAUAAGAAACUAAUAAAGAUUGAGGGAUGGUAAAUAGUCAGGGCCAAGAACUAGAGUACCACAAAUUAUUGAAAAGAGUUUUAGAAAGUCUGAUAGAAAUUUUGUUAAUGUUAAUGUACAUAUUAAUGGCCACCAAAGAUACUUUUGAGGUUAGAGAGGAAACAGCCUGGUGGAUGAGGAAGCUAAGAGAGUUGCUUUUUUAGAAGAACCUAAGGAAAAGUUGAUGGCCUUGAUACCUACUGUCCCAACUGAAAUAAAACCCCCCACCUUUCUCAAAGAAGGAAGAGGAAAAAAUUAAGGAGAUGGAAGCAGAACCCUCCACAGAAGGGAAAUGGGUGUCCCUCCAAUGGGAGGGUUAGGGUUAGGAAGGGUAAAAUAUCUUCUAGUAAUAGUGGAUCAUUUAACAGGAUGGGUUGAGACCUACCCUACCUCAAAAACAACUUCCCAAGCUGUGACCAAUACCAUCUUUGAACAACACAUCAUUCCAAGGUACAGAAGAGAGUAUUAGCCCAAACUCUACCUCUCAAGUUUCCUGUGCACCAGCUAAGACCAGGAGAUUGGGCACUAAUAAAGAUCUGAAAGGAGGAAAAACUGGACCCCAAUUGGGAAGAACCCUUUCUCAUGCUUUUAACAACUGAGACUGCAAUUGAUGACAAUGAGGGAGCUCCCAGAGACACCGCACAGAGCAUCCGGAAGACUGCGUACGGACCAGUACAGAAAUGGGAUUCUUGGCUUGAUAGCACUUGGUGGGAAUUGGUGGAAGCAGCUCAGUUUCUUUCUGAUUUGCGCUCUAGGGCCUUUGUUAAUAUUCCUUGCUUAAUACCCUGCAUUAUAGGACCGAGUCCAAAAACAGUUGAGAUUAUGCAGCUGUUAGCGUGGAUAUAACGCAGAACUACUAAAGUAGUCAGAAAAACCAAGUCUUUAAUCAGGGAAGAGAAGUCCAAUGAUCACCCCAAACUAUUCAGAGGCAACACCCUGGGAGCAUGCACCCUCUACAUGAUUUCUCCAAAGAACAAUAGAACUUGGGAAACUUCUAUACCUUUGGGAGAACUAAGGACAGGGAAGUAUGAUGGAUUGGCGUUACCAUGGCUACAAGGAAAUGAGAAGUCCAAGUCAGGAUUAACCGGGAGAGGCUGAUGCUUUACAAUGGACACAAAAGGGGAAAGUCCAUCCGAGAGCUGAGGUACCAGGGAGAGGACUUUGAUACAAUGGGAGAAACUACUAAAAGACAUUUGAUUUAGGUCUACCUAAAGGCCUAUUCUGUCUGAAAUGGGUGAGUUCUCAGGGGCCAGGGGCAGACUUGGGGUCUCCAGAUUUCAGAAGAAAUUUAUAACAUGGAAGGAGAGGAGUCCAACUAGCAAACAGAAAGAGGGGCAGGAACCUAUAAAAUUGUGGACUCCUCUCACAAAGAUGCAAAAUGGAGCCAAAGUAGGAAGACUUCAGGCCUUGUCACCUAAGUUUCCAUCAAAACAAGUUUCUUGUUCCCAACCUAAGCCCUAGUUUCCUCAAACCAAUGAGACACAAACUGAUUGAUAGGCUAUCCCCAUAAAAAGGCUAUAGGAUAUGCAGAUAGAUAGGAUUGAAACAGUCCUUGUUUUGAUUGGUUAAAGCUUGCUUGAAUAAUUAGGAUAAUUUAGUUUUUCAAAGUACUCCUGAUUAGCUAGCUUUCUGGGAAAAGAUUGUAACUCUCAAGUAACCAGCCAAUGGUGAAUGAGGGGAGGGACCAUCAGUAUCAAUCUCAGGGUCUAGGGUAAAAGGAGCCUGUGUGCUCCCAUCCUUUGUAUUUACCUGCUGGCUAAGCCUCUUGUAGCACUCACUUGGGAGCACCCAUUCUCUCAAAGAUGAAAUAAAAGAGCUUUUGACACAAUGAUAUGAAGUUCA
rnacentral:lncRNA from 1 species